rnacentral:rRNA from 1 species
GUGCCAGCCGCCGCGGUAAUACGGAGGGUGCAAGCGUUAAUCGGAAUUACUGGGCGUAAAGCGUGCGCAGGCGGCUGAUUAAGUCGGAUGUGAAAGCCCCGGGCUCAACCUGGGAAUUGCAUUCGAUACUGGUCAGCUAGAGUCUGGUAGAGGUAAGCGGAAUUCCGGGUGUAGCGGUGAAAUGCGUAGAUAUCCGGAGGAACAUCAGUGGCGAAGGCAGCCCCCUGGGAUAAUAUUGACGCUCAUGCACGAAAGCGUGGGGAGCAAACAGGAUUAGAUACCCUGGUAGUCCACGCCCUAA